rnacentral:rRNA from 1 species
CCAGACUCCUACGGGAGGCAGCAGUGGGGAAUAUUGCACAAUGGGGGAAACCCUGAUGCAGCAACGCCGCGUGAAGGAAGACGGUUUUCGGAUUGUAAACUUCUGUUCUUAGUGAAGAAGAAUGACGGUAGCUAAGGAGCAAGCCACGGCUAACUACGUGCCAGCAGCCGCGGUAAUACGUAGGUGGCAAGCGUUGUCCGGAAUUACUGGGUGUAAAGGGAGCGUAGGCGGCAGGGCAAGCCUGAUGUGAAAGCCCGGGGCUCAACCCCGGGACUGCAUUGGGAACUGCCCCGCUCGAGUGCCGGAGGGGCAGGCGGAAUUCCUGGUGUAGCGGUGAAAUGCGUAGAUAUCAGGAGGAACACCGGUGGCGAAGGCGGCCUGCUGGACGGAUACUGACGCUGAGGCCCGAAAGCGUGGGGAGCGAACAGGAUUAGAUACCCCGGUAAUA